rnacentral:lncRNA from 1 species
GCCGCUGUGAGAACCGCGAGCGCAGCGUGGGUGUCCAAGCCCCCGCCGACUGAUUUUCCGGCAGCCCCUCUCCUGGGAGUCUGGGCAGGCAGGCGGGGGCGUGGGGCAGAAGGAGGCUGGUUUCCAUUUUUAGGUCGAAUUCCCUUUUGGAAAGCUCCAGGCAUGUCUUUGGCACGGAUGCCCGGAGCGGGCAGGGCUCCACCCCAGCAGGCCUCGGACUCCAGGGCCAGGCGGCCAGCGCCUCCCAGCUCGCGUUCCUUUCUGUGUGUGUCCCCUUCAGCCCAGGGACCAGGGGGCAGCUGUAGCUCCAUCCUGAUGACUUAGAUCAAACGCUCCGCGUUUGAAGCUCCUGAGCGGAAGACACCAGCCCCGCGCAUACCCACCACCUCGGAGCAUCGGGUCCUGAGUCGACGACUGUGAGCCAGGCUCACGCAGAUUCGUUUCCAGUUGCCCAGAAUCUGAAAACACAUCCCUGACAGAUGAGAUGGGCACUACGACGCUGCUGGGGGAGAGACACUGAGAUGCCACCUGGCA